UGAGGUGUGGAUAGGGGAGAAAUUCCAAUCGAACCCGGAGAUAGCUGGUUCUCCUCGAAAUAGCUUUAGGGCUAGCCUCGAUACAGAUUUGCGGAGGUAGAGCACUGAAUUUCCUAGGGGGCGUCAAAGCCUACCGAAGAAUAUCAAACUCCGAAUGCCGCGUAAUCGAUUAUCGGGAGUCAGACUGCACGAGAUAAGUUGGGCGGUCAAAAGGGAAAGAGCCCAGACCUUCAGUUAAGGUCCCCAAGUGCGCGUUAAGUGGAAAAGGAUGUGGGAUUUCGAAGACAACCAGGAUGUUGGCUCAGAAGCAGCCAUCCAUUCAAAGAGUGCGUAAUAGCUCACUGGUCGAGAGGUCCUGCGCCGAAAAUGUCCGGGGCUGAAACGCGCCACCGAAACUAAGGAACCGAAAGGUUGGUAGAGGAGCAUUGCAUGCGGGAAGAAGCAGUACCGAAAGGAGCUGUGGACUGCAUGGAAGAGAGAAUGCCGGAAUGAGUAGCGAGAUAGAGGUGGGAAUCCUCUAGGCCGAAUAUCCAAGGUUUCCAGAGUAAAGCUGAUCUGCUCUGGGUAAGUCGGGGCCUAAGGCGAGGACGAGAGUCGUAGCCGAUGGACAACAGGUGGAGAUUCCUGUACUGCGGUAUGACAGAACUGUGGGGACACGUAAGGAAAGCGGAAGCCGGGAAUGGAAAGCCCGGUGCAAGCGGGGUACCAGUCACUUUGGCAAAUCCGGGUGGCAAUGGGAAGCCGUGAUGCGGAGCGAAAUAAAGUAGUGAAGUCCGUGAGCCAUGCGUCAAGAAAAGCCGCUAUUGUUUAUACCGUACCCGUACCGUAAACCGACACAGGUGGAUGAGGAGAGAAUCCUAAGGCCGGCGGAAGAAGCAUUGUCAAGGAACUCGGCAAAAUGGCCCCGUAACUUAGGGAUAAGGGGUGCCUGGGAAACCAGGCCGCAGAGAAUAGGCUCAAGCAACUGUUUAGCAAAAACACAGGUCUAUGCGAAACCGAAAGGUGAGGUAUAUGGGCUGACGCCUGCCCGGUGCUGGAAGGUUAAGAGGAGAGGUUAGCGCAAGCGAAGCUUUGAAUUUAAGCCCCAGUAAACGGCGGCCGUAACUAUAACGGUCCUAAGGUAGCGAAAUUCCUUGUCGGGUAAGUUCCGACCC
rnacentral:rRNA from 1 species